GACGAACGCUGGCGGCGCGCCUAACACAUGCAAGUCGAACGGGGUCCUUUUAGGAAGCUUGCUUCUUGGCUGGACCUAGUGGCGGACGGGUGAGUAACACGUGAGCAACCUGCCCUAAAGUGGGGGAUAACACUCGGAAACGGGUGCUAAUACCGCAUAUAAUCCCGAGAUGGCAUCAUUUUGGGAUCAAAGGAGUAAUCCGCUUUGGGAUGGGCUCGCGCCCGAUUAGAUAGUUGGUGGGGUAAUGGCCCACCAAGUCGGCGAUCGGUAGCCGGACUGAGAGGUUGAUCGGCCACAUUGGGACUGAGACACGGCCCAGAGUCCUACGGGAGGCAGCAGUGGGGGAUAGUGCACAAUGGGGGAAACCCUGAUGCAGCGACGCCGCGUGAGGGAAGAAGGUUUUCGGAUUGUAAACCUCUGUCCCGGUUGAAGAUAAUGACGGUAGACCGGGAGGAAGCUACGGCUAAUUACGUGCCAGCCGCCGCCGUAAAAC
rnacentral:rRNA from 1 species